CUCACUGCUAACAUGUUGAUCACAGUCCUUUACCUCUUGCUUCUUUUACACUCAGGUCUCACUGUUGUAGUUCUUCAGUCAGGAGAUCAAACAUCCCGCCCCGGACUCACAGUGAGCUUUGAGUGCAGCAUGGGUGCAGGGUCGAGCAUGGGCAGCUUCACCAUGUACUGGUACCGACAAAAACACUACGGAGCUCCAGUGGAGUACCUCACCAGAGAGUACGAACAAAAUGAAGGGCACUUCCAGUCGUCUAUUGACACAUCCAAAAACAGCUUCACUCUUAAAGUUCCUGGGCUGUUCCUGAAUGACAGCAGCACCUACUACUGUGCCGCCAGUCACAGUGAUGCACGCAGACCAGACAGUCGUACAAAUAACUAG